rnacentral:rRNA from 1 species
GACGAACGCUGGCGGCGUGCCUAAUACAUGCAAGUCGAACGGUCUUUUCUAUGGAAGCUUGCUUCCACUGAGAAGAUAGUGGCGGACGGGUGAGUAACACGUGGGUAACCUGCCCAUAAGAGGGGGAUAACAUCCGGAAACGGGUGCUAAUACCGCAUAGUUUUCUUGAUCGCAUGAUCGAGAAAGGAAAGACGGCCUUUGUGCUGUCGCUUAUGGAUGGACCCGCGGCGUAUUAGUUAGUUGGUGAGGUAAUGGCUCACCAAGACGAUGAUACGUAGCCGACCUGAGAGGGUGAUCGGCCACAUUGGGACUGAGACACGGCCCAAACUCCUACGGGAGGCAGCAGUAGGGAAUCUUCCGCAAUGGACGAAAGUCUGACGGAGCAACGCCGCGUGAGUGAAGAAGGUUUUCGGAUCGUAAAACUCUGUUGUCAGAGAAGAACAAGUUGGAGAGUAACUGCUCCAGCCUUGACGGUAUCUGACCAGAAAGCCACGGCUAACGUACG